UUUCACCGAGACUAUAUUUAUUCAACGGUUAAAAGAUAAAUGUAUAAUGUCCAUACACUGAAUGUAAAAAACUGAGAGACAAUGUAUUUUGUAGCCUAUAAUUCAUCAACCAUCCCCCUCGCCUGUCUCCACCGCCUUCUCCAUUUACGCUCUCUUGCCACCAAUCUAAAGCCAAACCCCAAGAUGUGGAUUCCAUCUGUGAUGUCUUGUUGCAGCCAUGGACCUUAUAACUCCCUCUUGAUGAAGGGGAACGAAAAGCAAGGAGAAAGCCAAAACCCAGUUGUUUUAAAGCAAAAGGAGGUGAAGCUCGUUAAGAGCUUGGCUCCACCUUUAAUGGCUGCCCUUGUAGCCUUAUCUCCCAUUGUCAACACCCCAGUGUCACUAGGACAAACCCUAGAUGUACAAAGAGGAGCCUCAUUGUUUAGCCGCACUUGCAUUGGCUGUCAUGAUGCUGGUGGAAACAUAAUUCAACCCGGUGCAACGCUCUUCACAAAGGACCUACAAAGAAGUAGAAACAAAUUGAAUGAUGGCACUCGCAGGAAUGGAGUAGACACUGAAGAAGAAAUUUAUCGCAUAACAUACUUUGGCAAAGGAAGAAUGCCUAAAAUCAGACCUGAAGAACUCUUACAACCUGGAGGUUAUCUGAAAUAAAUUGAAAGAGACUUGGCAGAAUUGUUGGAGAACUCCUACAACCUGGAGGUUACCUGAAAUUAAUUAGGUUAGGCCAUGAAGAUUGUGUGAGCGAUUUUGAUGCUGAAAGAAUGCUUGGAUAUGCAAUCUUUAAAGAUGGGAAAAGUGCCAAACUACCAUAUCCGUUAGAGAACUUUCUUUCAGAUGUUGCAGGAAGAAGCUUUCAUAUUGGCCCUGCUAAUUCUGCAGGCUGAUAUCCCAACCUGUUUUGUCAGCUUGGUGCUGGAGAAUUGCAACCUUCCGUGAGCAAAUCAUGGACAUGAAGUACCGAGAUUCGCUGCGUGGUAGAUGUUCCUGGACAGAAAGUGCCUUCCGUUUCUGAUGGUGAAAUGGCUCCCUGUUUGAAGCUUACCAAAGCUCCCCAGGUCACUAAGAUUUUAUUCGAACGAUUUUUUAUGUGAAAUAUUACUAAGCAAUGAAAAUCUCUUAUGUUUGAAAUCAGCA